UACAGAGGGCUCGAGCGUUGCGCGGAAUCACUGGGCUUAAAGCGUGCGCAGGUGGACCCGUAAGUACUUUGUGAAAUCCCACGGCUCAACCGUGGAAUUGCUUGGUAUACUGCGGGUCUUGAGGUCGGUAGAGGUUGUCGGAACUCUAGGUGGAGCGGUGAAAUGCGUAGAUAUCUAGAGGAACGCCGAAGGUGAAGACAGGCAACUGGACCGAUUCUGACGCUCAUGCACGAAAGCGUGGGUAGCGAACAGG
rnacentral:rRNA from 1 species